GAUCAUGGCUCAGAUUGAACGCUGGCGGAAUGCUUUACACAUGCAAGUCGAACGGUAGAGGGGGCAACCCCUCGAGAGUGGCGAACGGGUGAGUAAUAUAUCGGAACGUGCCCAGUCGUGGGGGAUAACGUAGCGAAAGUUACGCUAAUACCGCAUACGAUCUAUGGAUGAAAGCGGGGGAUCGCAAGACCUCGCGCGAUUGGAGCGGCCGAUGUCAGAUUAGCUAGUUGGUGGGGUAAAGGCCCACCAAGGCGACGAUCUGUAGCUGGUCUGAGAGGACGACCAGCCACACUGGGACUGAGACACGGCCCAGACUCCUACGGGAGGCAGCAGUGGGGAAUUUUGGACAAUGGGCGCAAGCCUGAUCCAGCAAUGCCGCGUGCAGGAAGAAGGCCUUCGGGUUGUAAACUGCUUUUGUACGGAACGAAAAGGUCUGGGUUAAUACCCUGGGCUCAUGACGGUACCGUAAGAAUAAGCACCGGCUAACUACGUG
rnacentral:rRNA from 1 species